AGAGGCCACGGUAGAAGGAACACGCGAACGUAAAAAACACCCGAAAAUGCGCAUUUUCUUGGUCAGAGCCGCAUUUUUCCCCGUGGAAGAGUGGAUAAGUGCCUUCGUCAUUGAACAUCCGACUUAGGCUUGACAAGUGCUGGGAGAAAAUGAAGUACCAGGAAUGAGAAGAGGAUGACAACUCACACAAGUCCUUAUUCAAGGUAGCCCCAAGGCCAGACUAUGCUGACAGCAUAGCCCAGUCUCCAGCCAUUAAAAGCAGAGGUUCACUGUUAUCUGGGGAACAUGAAAUUAGGAAUACUUUAGAUCCAGGUCAUACUGCUGUCCAUGGUGGCUACUAAGAGAGUCCUGUCAGAAUGUGGAUAGUGUCCAACUCCAACUUCCUCAAUGUCCAUGCCAGGUUCUGUGAUGUCCCAGAGUUGACUCACUAGCUAGAUUUUUACAUCACCACUGCUAGCUGCAGUUCAGUUUCCCCUAGUAAAUGAACUUGUCACCUUGCAUGGUUUGUGUGCAUUUAUGUUAAAUACAGACUAAGAUUGGUGACAGU